GACGCUGAGGAGGAGCUUGCUUCUCUGGAUGAGUUGCGAACGGGUGAGUAACGCGUAGGUAACCUGCCUGGUAGCGGGGGAUAACUAUUGGAAACGAUAGCUAAUACCGCAUAAGAGUAGAUGUUGCAUGACAUUUGCUUAAAAGGUGCAAUUGCAUCACUACCAGAUGGACCUGCGUUGUAUUAGCUAGUUGGUGGGGUAACGGCUCACCAAGGCGACRAUACAUAGCCGACCUGAGAGGGUGAUCGGCCACACUGGGACUGAGACACGGCCCAGACUCCUACGGGAGGCAGCAGUAGGGAAUCUUCGGCAAUGGACGGAAGUCUGACCGAGCAACGCCGCGUGAGUGAAGAAGGUUUUCGGAUCGUAAAGCUCUGUUGUAAGAGAAGAACGAGUGUGAGAGUGGAAAGUUCACACUGUGACGGUAUCUUACCAGAAAGGGACGGCUAACUACGUGCCAGCAGCCGCGGUAAUACGUAGGUCCCGAGCGUUGUCCGGAUUUAUUGGGCGUAAAGCGAGCGCAGGCGGUUAGAUAAGUCUGAAGUUAAAGGCUGUGGCUUAACCAUAGUACGCUUUGGAAACUGUUUAACUUGAGUGCAAGAGGGGAGAGUGGAAUUCCAUGUGUAGCGGUGAAAUGCGUAGAUAUAUGGAGGAACACCGGUGGCGAAAGCGGCUCUCUGGCUUGUAACUGACGCUGAGGCUCGAAAGCGU
rnacentral:rRNA from 1 species